UUGUCUCCCCCCACGACUGGCAAAGGCCGCAGGCAAGUGUCGCUGAGCGGCUAGGGAGUCAAGCGAAGCGAAGGAGGAACCAUGGCUGCGAGGGCUUUCUAUGAUGAUCUUACCAGCAAAGGAGAUAAUCAGCUCAAAUCGCUGUUGUGGUUCUUGAUGCACUCACAAGGUUCGUUCAACCUUUUCAGAUAUAUCAUAUAUGCCUUUAUCAUCAAUCAUAGUUACUCAUUUUUGUUGAAUUGACAAAUUGGGACACUCUAACACAUGACUGAAAUCUGAUAAAACAUUCUAUAAGUUUCGACAAUAGUUAUAGACAGUCCAUGUUUGUGGAUAUAAUAAGCUGAUUUUGCUCGGGGAAGUACUGGACAGUGGACAUUGGUUGGAGCUACAAGCCUUUAAUGGACCAAAUCAGUUGGGUAUAAGACUUGCCUGUUCCAGAAUUUGGCAGUCUUCAAGCAUGGGAAACUCGAGCUAGUGCUGCAGCACGCGCAGCUAAUGGAGAUAUCAAUGGCGGUGAUUCUAAAAAUUCUCAACUGGGAUAUAAUGGAGCUCCAAUGCCUCACAGUGGCGGGGAUACUUAGGUUGUAGUUGAUUUCAAUGGUACCGAAGUCAAGAGAGAGCGUGUUAAGUCUGGAGCUGAUAGUACAUCUUUAAAGGUUUUGCCUCCAUGGAUGAUUACGCCAGGGAUGAAUCUUACAAAGGAGCAACGUGGAGAGGUGAAGCAGGAAAUGAAGAUGGAUGGGACUUCAACUUCAACAGCCACCGCAGUACACGGAUGAUAAGAAAUCUACAAUUGGGAUGAGUAUAUGAAGGCUUAUUAUGCUGCUUUCCUUAAGCAACAACAUGAAUUGGAAGAAGUUGCAAAAAAAACAACUAUCAGUUGAUACACUGGCUACAUAUGAUCCUUCUAGCAGUACUUCCCGUCGCCAGGUUGGCAUGAAAUCAAAAUGUGAGAAAAAUGACGAUGGUACUGAGUGGGAAGAGGCUCCGCUGGGAGGCAAUGGAAAUGUAGGUUACAAGGUGGAUUUGAAUGUUGAAGCUGAUGAUGUUCCAGCAGAUGAUGAUGGCGAAGAUGACGAUGUUGACUGGGAGGAAGGUUGAUGAAAAAAAUUAUCUGGUCAGUGUGAAUGCAAGGACUUAUUUCUGAUUUGCUGCAAGUGCAUGUGUUAUUAUGAUAAAAUAAUAAAACAGCCUCAAAUUAUGUAUCACAAGAACAGAGUUUACUGCUCAUUAUAUUAUUGCUUGUGCAUGUUGCUGUGGUGAUGGGUCCAUGGGUUAAAAGGACGUGCACAGCUGACUUUUUAACUUAUUAGUGUAUGCGUGGAUUUCCGUUGAAUGCAACGCUGAUCAGGUUUGAGUCAACAUGGGAAAAUCUCGCUUCUCUGCACGGGGAUGUGUUUUUCAGUGAACCAAACACACAGUUAAUCAUUAAAUUUUGGCA